rnacentral:rRNA from 1 species
GAUGAACGCUGGCGGCGUGCCUAAUACAUGCAAGUCGAGCGAAUGGAUUAAGAGCUUGCUCUUAUGAAGUUAGCGGCGGACGGGUGAGUAACACGUGGGUAACCUGCCCAUAAGACUGGGAUAACUCCGGGAAACCGGGGCUAAUACCGGAUAACAUUUUGAACCGCAUGGUUCGAAACUGAAAGGCGGCUUCGGCUGUCACUUAUGGAUGGACCCGCGUCGCAUUAGCUAGUUGGUGAGGUAACGGCUCACCAAGGCAACGAUGCGUAGCCGACCUGAGAGGGUGAUCGGCCACACUGGGACUGAGACACGACCCAGACUCCUACGGGAGGCAGCAGUAGGGAAUCUUCCGCAAUGGACGAAAGUCUGACGGAGCAACGCCGCGUGAGUGAUGAAGGCUUUCGGGUCGUAAAACUCUGUUGUUAGGGAAGGACAAGUGCUAGUUGAAUAAGCUGGCACCUUGACGGUACCUAACCAGAAAGCCACGGCUAACUACGUGCCAGCCGCCGCCGUAA